rnacentral:tRNA from 1 species
GGGAAUGUGGCUUAGUGGUAGAGAGCUUGCCUAGCAUGCAUGAAGCCCUGGGUUCCAUUCCCA